UACGGAGGGGGCUAGCGUUGUUCGGAAUUACUGGGCGUAAAGCGCACGUAGGCGGCUUGGUAAGUUAGAGGUGAAAGCCUGGAGCUCAACUCCAGAAUUGCCUUUAAGACUGCCGAGCUAGCAGGUGAGAGAGGUGAGUGGAAUUCCGAGUGUAGAGGUGAAAUUCGUAGAUAUUCGGAAGAACACCAGUGGCGAAGGCGGCUCACUGGCUCAUACUGGACGCUGAGGUGCGAAAGCGUGGGGAUCAAACAGG
rnacentral:rRNA from 1 species